rnacentral:rRNA from 1 species
GACGAACGCUGGCGGCGUGCUUAACACAUGCAAGUCGAACGGAAAGGCCCUGCUUUUGUGGGGUGCUCGAGUGGCGAACGGGUGAGUAACACGUGAGUAACCUGCCCUUGACUUUGGGAUAACUUCAGGAAACUGGGGCUAAUACCGGAUAGGAGCUCCUGCUGCAUGGUGGGGGUUGGAAAGUUUCGGCGGUUGGGGAUGGACUCGCGGGUUAUCAGCUUGUUGGUGGGGUAGUGGCUUACCAAGGCUUUGACGGGUAGCCGGCCUGAGAGGGUGACCGGCCACAUUGGGACUGAGAGACGGCCCAGACUCCUACGGGAGGCAGCAGUGGGGAAUAUUGCACAAUGGGCGGAAGCCUGAUGCAGCAACGCCGCGUGCGGGAUGACGGCCUUCGGGUUGUAAACCGCUUUCGCCUGUGACGAAGCGUGAGUGACGGUAAUGGGUAAAGAAGCACCGGCUAACUACGUG